rnacentral:rRNA from 1 species
AGAGUUUGAUCAUGGCUCAGAUUGAACGCUGGCGGCAUGCCUUACACAUGCAAGUCGAACGGCAGCGCGGGGCAACCUGGCGGCGAGUGGCGAACGGGUGAGUAAUAUAUCGGAACGUGCCCUGGAGUGGGGGAUAACGCAGCGAAAGUUGCGCUAAUACCGCAUACGAUCUAAGGAUGAAAGCAGGGGACCGCAAGGCCUUGUGCUCCUGGAGCGGCCGAUAUCUGAUUAGCUAGUUGGUGGGGUAAAGGCCUACCAAGGCAUCGAUCAGUAGCUGGUCUGAGAGGACGACCAGCCACACUGGAACUGAGACACGGUCCAGACUCCUACGGGAGGCAGCAGUGGGGAAUUUUGGACAAUGGGCGAAAGCCUGAUCCAGCAACGCCGCGUGAGUGAAGAAGGCCUUCGGGUUGUAAAGCUCUUUUGUCAGGGAAGAAACGGUGCGGGCUAAUAUCCCGCACUAAUGACGGUACCUGAAGAAUAAGCACCGGCUAACUACGUGCCAGCAGCCGCGGUAAUACGUAGGGUGCAAGCGUUAAUCGGAAUUACUGGGCGUAAAGCGUGCGCAGGCGGUUUUGUAAGUUUGUCGUGAAAGCCCCGGGCUCAACCUGGGAAUUGCGAUGAAGACUGCAAGGCUUGAAUCUGGCAGAGGGGGGUAGAAUUCCACGUAGCAGUGAAAUGCGUAGAGAUGUGGAGGAACACCGAUGGCGAAGGCAGCCCCCUGGGUCAAGAUUGACGCUCAUGCACGAAAGCGUGGGGAGCAAACAGGAUUAGAUACCCUAGUAGUCC